AGCGCUCCACGCGAGGGACCCGGUCUAAGAGGUCUGAGUAUUUUUUUUUUAAGAUUUUAUUUAUUUAUUCAUGAUAGAGAGAGAGAGAGAGGCAGAGACACAGGCAGAGGGAGAAGCAGGCUCCAUGCAGGGAGCCGGGCGUGGGACUCGAUCCCGGGUCUCCAGGAUCACGCCCUGGGCCAAAGGCAGGCGCUAAGCCACCGAGCCUCCCAGGGAUCCCCUAAGAGGCCUUAAUGUCUAACGCUUCCAGGUGAUGCCGAGAGGCGCUGAGAGGAAAUGGAUCUCCUUUGUACUUCUCUACAAUCCCAUUCCCCUCUUUUCGUCUUGGAUGGAGGUUAUUUGGGCGCUUUCAACGUUUUCUAUUAUAAACAGUGGCGGAUUUACCAUGAAGCUAAUGAAAGGUAAACUCAGAGCCCCUCAUUUGCAUUUAUGUGUCUCCCUGUCCCUGGCCCCUACCUCCCCC